GCUUCAUUACACGAUUUGAUAG
rnacentral:snRNA from 1 species